GACGGAGGAUGCAAGCGUUAUCCGGAAUUAUUGGGCGUAAAGCGUCCGCAGGUGGCUGUUCAAGUCUGCUGUCAAAGCGCAGAGCUUAACUCUGUACAGGCGGUGGAAACUGAAGAGCUAGAGUAUGGUAGGGGUAGAGGGAAUUCCCGGUGUAGCGGUGAAAUGCGUAGAUAUCGGGAAGAACACCAGUGGCGAAGGCGGUUGCCUGGAGCUUUGCUGACGCUGAGGCGCGAAAGCGUGGGGAGCGAUCCGG
rnacentral:rRNA from 1 species